GAUAACCGCAGGAUGUUUCAGGAAGGUAGGUUUCAGGAAGAUAGGUGGCCGCAGGAUGUCUCAGGUGAGAUAAGUAGCUGCAGGAUGCCUCCCAGGCAGGAUGUCUCCCAGGGGGCUGUCAGGCUAAUCUUUGAAGGAGAAUUUCCUUCUAGUCCCUGACAUGAGUCCAGGAGUGAGGGGAUGGGCAGGACCCAAACAAAGUGGUUAAGAGAGGCUUCUUUGAAGAGGUAAAUCUUGGCUGAGAAGGCAAGAGCACACAAUAUGUGCAAAGGCCCUGAGGUAGGAUGCAAAGAGAGGGCUUCCAAAGCCAGGUAGAAAAGGGUUUUGAAGGGUCAUGGGUUCAGAAGUCACUUCAGACAGUUGAGAAAGGGCUCUUUGCCCAUCUCUGCUAGUCCUCUACAGUCACACCUGAUUGUUGCCAAGUACCCCAAUUCCUCCUUCCUCAUCCUCUCACUUUUGUCCUUUCC
rnacentral:lncRNA from 1 species